UACGGUGGUGGCGAGCGUUGUUCGGAAUUACUGGGCGUAAAGGGCGCGUAGGCGGGGAGGUAAGUCGGGUGUGAAAUCCCUCGGCCCAACCGAGGAACUGCGCCCGAAACUGCCUCUCUUGAGUCCCGGAGAGGAAGGUGGAAUUCCCGGUGUAGCGGUGAAAUGUGUAGAUAUCGGGAGGAACACCGGUGGCGAAGGCGGCCUUCUGGACGGUGACUGACGCUGAGGCGCGAAAGCGUGGGGAGCAAACGGGAUUAGAAACCCCAGUAGU
rnacentral:rRNA from 1 species